UACGUAGGGUGCGAGCGUUGUCCGGAAUUACUGGGCGUAAAGAGCUCGUAGGUGGUUUGUCGCGUUGUUCGUGAAAACUCACAGCUCAACUGUGGGCGUGCGGGCGGACGGUACGGCAGACUAGAGUACUGCAGGGGAGACUGAAUUCCUGGUGUAGCAGUGAAAUGCGUAGAUAUCAGGAGGAACACCGGUGGUGUAGACGGCUCACUGGACCGUAACUGACGCUGAGACACGAAAGCGUGGGUAGCAAACAGG
rnacentral:rRNA from 1 species